rnacentral:rRNA from 1 species
CUACCACGCGAGUGGAUGCCAAUCCCUAAAACCCCUCUCAGUUCGGAUUGUAGGCUGAAACUCGCCUACAUGAAGCUGGAGUUGCUAGUAAUCGCGAAUCAGCAUGUCGCGGUGAAUACGUUCCCGGGCCUUGUACACACCGCCCGUCACACCAUGAGAGUUGGCAAUACCCAACGUACGUGAUCUAACCCGCAAGGGAGGAAGCGUCCUAAGGUAGGGUCAGCGAUUGGGGUGAAGUCGUAACAAGGUACC